GUGGAGGCUUUUUACUGAGCGGUAGGUCCUGGAGGGACACUGGAUUUUAAAGAUGGAGUAUGGCACCAGCGCAACUGCGGCUCAGGAAAAUGAAAAUCAAGAGGGCCUUGGUCUAUUUCCCUCCAGCAUGGAGGACCUGGGUCAUUCCUGUGACUCUUUGCCCAAGGCCUACAUCUUGUAGAAAAUCACUGACGUUAACAGAAGAGAAGAAAGGAUAACAGGACCCAGGAGUUUGGAUAAUCCUGACUGUCCAAGGAGGACAGAUGACCUGCUACAGUAAAGGACAAGAGGUCAAGCCACCUUUCACGGUCACUGUCACUUUUCUGCUGAGCAGCGAAUGAGAACAUGCCCCAUUUCCCCCUGAACCUGACAGCCAACUCCACUUGAUAUCCUAAUAGAUGACGAAUGUAGGUGUACCCCUUAACCCUGCUUUACAGAUGGACAUGUAGUCUCUUUAAAAAUCUCCACCACACACACCCCUAUAUUAAAGGCGU